rnacentral:rRNA from 1 species
CAGUAGCCGCGGGAAUACGAAGGGUGCAAGCGUUACUCGGAAUUACUGGCGUAAAGCGCACGCAGGCGGUCUGACAAGUCAGAUGUGAAAUCCCCGGGCUUAACCUGGGAACUGCAGCGGAUACUGGCAAGCUAGAGUGUGUCAGAGGAUGGUGGAAUUCCCGGUGUAGCGGUGAAAUGCGUAGAGAUCGGGAGGAACAUCAGUGGCGAAGGCGGCCAUCUGGGACAACACUGACGCUGAGGCACGAAAGCGUGGGGAGCAAACAGGAUUAGAUACCCCCGUAGUCCCUGUCUCUUAUACA